UACGUAGGGGGCAAGCGUUGUCCGGAUUUAUUGGGCGUAAAGAGCGUGUAGGCGGUCAGGUAGGUCCGUUGUGAAAACUCGAGGCUCAACCUCGAGACGCCGAUGGAAACCAUCUGACUAGAGUCCGGAAGAGGAGAGUGGAAUUCCUGGUGUAGCGGUGAAAUGCGUAGAUAUCGGGAGGAACACCAGUGGCGAAGGCGGCCUUCUGGACCAGUACUGACGCUCAUGCACGAAAGCGUGGGGAGCAAACAGG
rnacentral:rRNA from 1 species